rnacentral:lncRNA from 1 species
CGAAGUCCCGGCGCAGGGUGGUGGGCGGGGCCAGCGCGGAGAUUGACAGGGGAUGUCCUGGGGCGGCACUCGCGUGGCGCAGAAUGAGAGGCUGGUCCCGAGCAGCGAAAGGAGGGUUCUCAUCCAUAUGAGCAUGGGCUUCAUGAUGCUGGCCCUGAUCCUGUGUCUCACCCUCCUCCCCACCAUGUGCCUCUCCUUCCAGCCAGUCUUCCGACGCCUUACUAAGAUCGACCUUGUCUUCAGUUCUCUCAGCUUCAGCAUUGGGUUCCUGAUUGUUCUCAGUCUGACACUCUUUGUGGUCAACUGCGAGACGCUGCAGCCGAGGCCACAGGUAUCCUACCUGGUGACCACCUACCUGUGCUGGGCGGCCGGCGCCUUGAUGUUGUGGACCGGUGAGGGCGGGGCUGGGGGGAAGGGGUGGUGCCUCGGUAGGGCAGGGGGCGGAGCCCAGGCGAGAACACGAGGCAGGGCCCGGGGCCNNNNNNNNNNNNNNNNNNNNNNGGCGGGUGAGCAACCGUCGGUGGGCCUUGCAGCAGAACACCCCGAGACGCAUCUCCCAACAGCAGUCCGACGCGGACCAGGAGCACACCGUGGACCUGCCCAGUGCGCUCAACCCCUCAAGCCUCUCGAAACAGUCGCACACGAGCUUCUCAGGGCAGUGACCGCAGUCAGAUACCGGCCGAUCCCCUUCAUCGUGGCCACGUGAUUAGACCUCCCUGCUAGGCCCCACUCCCGAAGAACGUGCCCCACCCCUCGAGCUACGGUCUACCCUUCGCGGCUCUGUUCCCGCCCACUGAAUCCUCAUCCUACCCCCGCCCCUACAGUGCGACACCAUCCCCUCGGUGUCCGUAAGCUGUCAGCUGUGCAACCGGUUGGUGUGCCCCCCCACCCCCAGCCUAGCUAGGGCCCGCCCCUGGGUGUCUAGCCGUCUCAGGCCACGCCCCGAAGUUGCACUCCAGCGCAGGAACUCCACCCAUUCCGAGGGCGAGUCCCGCCCCCUGACAUCCAGCCACGCCCCCGCCGGAGCGCCGCACUGCCCCGCAUUUGAUGUAGCUACGCCCUCCUGGGGAACCACCCUCUCCCCCAGAAAGGCGUGGCUUGGGAUAACAUCUCCUACCUGCCCCCCCCAAAUGACUUUUCCCACACAAUAAAACGUGGGCGCCUCACA